UAAGCAAGCAGUCAGCACUUAAUUAUCUGCACACCCAACCUGAGCUGAAUUAGGCAGAGGCAAAUUAGAAUGGGAGUUACAACAUGAGGUCAUAAUUUACCAUACUGUAAAUACUAGCACAGUAUUAGUUAGUUUUAAUCUUCCAGAAGUCUAAUGUAAAACUCUGGGAUGCUUUUACCAACCUGCCCUGCCACUCCUAUGACCAGAAAAAUCUUGCAGGAGGAAGAUUUGUAAAGAGGACAAACAACCUUGCUUUUUCUUCCCACCCCUAGAGUCAAAACUACAGUGUAGGGACACAUGGAAAAGUUGGCAAACCCAAGGGAAAGAGGAAUUGGACUGCUCAGAGUUAAUAUACCUUCAACAAUGUUAAUUCUCUGUUACACUCUAUUGUUUUCUUCUGGACAUCUCAGGAGCCACAGUGCCUUGUAGGGAGAGUCAGGCACAGUCACUGAGGAAGCUCCUCCAAGGUGGCUGAGGAGAGGGCUUUUUCUGCAGACAUGGGAGUUCAGGACACAAGUCCUGAGUGUUGCUGUGUUUCAGAUACUGUCCCAGUGUCUCCCCAUUUCCCUGGUCCCACAGCAUGGGUGUGGAGAAGAUGCUUCCCACUGGCAGACACAGAGGAACAGCAGAGCUGAAACAGUGGAACAGCGGAGUCCUCUUCAAGACAAACAAAUGGCCGCAUCCCUCUGUUUACAUGGCAGAUAUAAACUGCAAUCCUCUAUGGCUGGAAUUUAGCCAAAAUCAUUACAUUGCUUGGUUUCAAGAAGCUCUCUAAAAAUCCCAGCCCAGACCACUGAAAUCAGUAGUGACGUUUGAAAAACCCACAUAGCUGGAAUAUAUUGCCCAUGGUGGCACUGAGCAGCAAUCUGUGAGAUAUUAUCUGCAGUCUAGCUCCAGAAAGUAAAUUCAGGUUAGAUCAGAAGCCUAAAGGCUUUCUUAUAGGGAUAGCUCAGGCAAGCUGCAGACAUCAAUGGAAACUACAGGAGUACAGUAACUAUGUAAUGGUGAUCCCCCUCAUUGUCAGCCUUGCCUAUGCAGGGGAUGGGAAAGGAGACCUUUCAUUAACUGCAUGGGAGGCUGGCACUACAGCAGAUCCAUAUCACACCGUGUCACACAGAAUGCAAUUUGUCAGUUCCUGUGCAGCGAAUUACGAUGAUAUCUGCUUAAGAACAUGUCUGCAAGCAGUCAGCUGGCAAGUGCAUUGUACACUGGCCCAUCUGUUACCACGGUAAUUGGGUCAUCCACUUCAGAAGAAGCUGCUCUGCCCGUGCAGUGACAGAAGCAAUGACCUCAUAUAAAGAGAGCCAGCACUGGACCAAGGAUUCUAACAAUGGGAUAGAGGAAAGAAAGUAUUCCUAUGGAACCAGCUGGGAAUGGCAGAGCCCCGUUAGGCACGUGUUCAACUGAGGCUCUGGAGCAGGUCUAAUUGCACCUCAGAAAUGAUGCUGCAGGAAAGCACAGAAAAAGGUUCUAAGAGUUGUCAUUACCAAGGGCCCUGCACCCUGACAAAGAGAAGGUUGCCAGGACUAGCUGUCUUCUUGCUCAGCACCACAGAUCAACAACUUCAGCACCCUUCUGUUAACACUUGAUGCUGUCCACGUGAAAAAAUGGUACUGGGAAGGUACUGGAAGAUGGUAGCAGAGAACAAAAUCUAAGGGAUCGUCACUGUGAAGACUGGGAUGAUACCAAAUAAAAACCUGCUGCAGGAGAAUUAUGAUUUUAAAAAGAUGAAAAGUCACUCUAAAGUAAAUUAUUUUCAUGUUCAGCUUUCAUUUGACAUAGAUUCAGAUUCUAACUCACUAUUAUUUGCAAAUAUUAAAAAUCAUCCUCCCAUGAUCUCUGAAGACUCUCUCAGAAGAUAACAGUCCUUUUUGAUAAGGAGCUCCUUUGUAGCAGGAGGAGGAAGGGCUGUGCUGUCCCUUGGCUCUGUGGUGGAGCCCGGGCUGCUGCCCAGGGCCCAGGCCAGGCAUGCUCCAGCUGCAGCAGAGCACUCUUCGGGCAGCCCCUGGCAUCCCUCUGUGAGGAGGAUGGCAUGCUGCCCUGACCCAUCCUGCUCCUGGGCACCUGCAAGAAAGAGGGACCUGUGACAGAGGAGAUCUUCCACAGAGCUGCCAGCAGCACAGCCCUUCAUGAGCUGAUGGAGAUCCUGGACGCUGGCAAAGAAAAGCCGUGCUGCUGCUGGCUGACCUCAAGGUGAGCCCCCCUGACCUGAUGCUGGAAGAGCUCAUUGCUGGCCUGGAGUCUCCAAAGGCUCACAGGGAGCCAUUGAAGGACUUCCUGCAGAGCAUGCCUGGCAGAGCUUCCCAUGACAGAGCUCUACAAGGAGUGUGUGGCGGCCAUGCAGAGGAGCAAGCAGGCACAGCUGGAGGAACUGAAAGCAUAAGCAUGGAUUGCAGCCUGCCAGAUGAGCAGGCACUGGGAGGACACCCACACUUGCUUGCCAGGCGACUGCCUCCUUCAAAAGCUGGUGUUUCUGGUAGCUCACCUUUGCUGGUGAGCUUGUGUUUUGGGGAAACAUGCGUGGACAGCAAGCCUUCCACAGUGUGGGCUUGGCUGGAAUCAAGUGCUAGGAAGCAGUGCUGGGCUUCCUUCCCUCCUCAAGCACAGGAGCCCUGAUGGCUGGCUGAGAGCACCUGCACAGCUGUGCAGCACAGCUGCUGGCUGCCUCCUGCUCCAGGCCAGCUCUGGGACUGACUUGGUGAGCCCUGUAGUGCUGCUCCUUCAGUGUGGCUGAGAAGCCACCGGCAGCCAGCCUCUUCCUGAGGCAGCUGCAAACCUUCUUUUCGCAUAUUGGCCACAACACCUGCAAAAUCCCUCCAGAAAGACAGCUUUCCAAAGCAGAAUCUUCCACCACAGAAGGUGGUAUGGCACCAAAGGGCUCUCUGCAGUGCUCUAUCUCACGAGAGCAGAAGAAAUCCCAGUGGAAUAAAGCAGGCAAAUCUUUUCUUGGCUGGAGAGCGAUUGCAGGCUCCCUAACCCAUGCAGCUGCCCAAUAAACCAAGGGUCACACUCCCAGUGAGUGAACACUGUGUUCCCAAGGGGGGCCCUUGAAGAAAGGUCUGAUGCAAACCAGCCCAAGGGAUCUCCUCUGCAGAGCAGAGACAGGAGCAGGACAGAGACUCUUCCUGCUCUGGGCUGUCCCUUGCCACUUGCAGACUCCUGUUGCAGCAGCCCUCUUGUUCGUGGGCAGAAAUGAGCAGAGACACAGACUUCUUGUUUAUCACAGCAUGAAAAGGGUCCUGGUUUAUUCCUCUUUACAGCUCAGCCAUCCUGACUCCAACUAUUCCCUGUCUCUGGCUGCAGCAAGCUCCUGCUGUGGUUUCCCUUGCAGCCUCUGACUGCUGGCUCUUUCCUGCUAAACUGUGACUGCAGGCAUUGGUUUGCAGACUCUGACUGCAGGCUUUUACCCAGCUAGACUGGGACUGCAGGUUCCAACAACAGGCUCCAACUGCAGACCCAGACUGACCUCACAGCAGUGAUUCUCCCUCCCCAGGAUCCUUCUUCUUCAUCCUCUCCCACUGAUAAUCCUCCCCUCACCAGCUGACCCACUCCCUUUUAUCACACUUAUCUUUACUGGCUAUAGCUGUCACUCAUCAGGGGCAAGGCUGUAUUGUUAAUUAACACAGCUGGUACUUAUCAGGGACAAGGUCACCUGUAUUCCUUUCUCCUGCAGACUCCAGCACUUCUGCUUUAGGCCCCUGUUACUUUGCUCCAACCAGCACAGAGACCAUAGUUAGGCAGCCUGAGAUGUGAAGGAGAACCAGGGAGUCUGCCAGAAGAAAGUGGGUAAAGGGAGGCAGCUUCACUUAAAUCAAGAGCUAACUGCAGUUGAUCCUACCUUUCCUUAUCUCAUCCUACUGUGCAGUAAAAAGUUUUUUUGGCUACUCACAAGAAAAAAGAAGUGAGUCCUGGGUGGAGGAGAGGGAAUGGCAUUCAGCAAGGAAAAAGAGAAGGAGGAGAUUGAAACUAAGCACAAAGGUCCAGAGGAGGAAGGGGCCCAGUUGAGUACCAGGCUCUGCUGCCCAUUUUUCCCAGCUCUCAACCCUGCUCUAAGUCAGUUCAGCUUGCUGGCUAGGGACAGAAAGGAAUGGUGCUGCACAGGGUUUGGGAAGAAAUGCCAUGGCAGCUCCCCAGGGGAGUGCAUUGAGUCGUGUGCCUUGGCACUGGGGCACUGAGCAUCUCUGCACAUGCAUGGAUAACUAAGGACAUUAUUUCCUAUGGGGAUGAGGUGUCAGAGGCAGCCUGUCACCAAUAUCAGCACUAGCUCUCUCUUCUGGGCUGUAAAAGAUUCCUUGCCACCCAUGUUUCCCAGAGAAAGGGGAACCAAGGCAUGCCUAUUCCUGCCUUGGGAGGUUUAUCAGUGCUUUUUGGCUAUAUCAUUGCAGGUACUGAUCUCCUGUCCCUGUGACCCCUGGGCUUCUGCACCUGAUGUCCACCUAAAUAAAAGGAGAUUUUCUCUCUCUCUGUUUUACUUUCUCUCUGUCUUACAAUUUGUGCUUGUCACCUCUGGUGCUCUCAGUGGGCACUUUGGAGAAGAGACUGGCUCCCUCCUCUUCAUUUCCUUCUAGCAUAUUUAGAAAGAAACAUGUAUUUUAGUUUUUAAUCUAUGUUUCUAGAGAGAUACAUAUUUAUAACACAUACACCCUGUCCCACAGUGAAGGAGGAAAGGCUUUCCCUGGGGAAAAGCUGGCAAUGAGAUGCUGAGAGGGAGGAAAUCCUCACCAUGAUUUUGGUGGUUGGUAGAAAGUUCUGAAUCAGAGAUGAAUUCUCCAUCUUCUAGGGCAUAGCUCAGGUGGCUGUACCACAGGUGCUUUAACACACCUGGAAGCUGGGAACGUAGCAACACCACUUUCCUGGAAACCACCAGUGUUGAAGCUGUAACUUGGGAGUUCUGGAGAGGAAUUUAGCCUCAGACAAACUUUUUUGUAAUUUAUUUUGGAGUAUGGAGAAAGUAAAUGGCUUGAAAAAUUCUUCUACAGAGAGAACUUGGAUUAGGAACUUUUCUUCACCUGCUGCACAUCAGUGCUGGUACAAAAUCUGGGGUCUAGUUCGUAAAAGUGAAUGUCCAGUCAAACUACUCUUAAGACUUUAGUAAAGAAGUGGUUUUUACACUGAAAUUCAUUGACACUAAUCAGAAUUCACAGUAUAAAUAGCAUGCAUAAAACUUGUGCCCUUGAAAAUCUGUUAACUGUAGGCAUGAAACUACAUGUUCUUGAUGUACAGAGCUGUGAACUGUUUUACAGAGAAUUAAUUUCUUUCUAGUUUAUUCCAAGGAAGAGAUUUUUGAAACCUUUUUAGAAUUAAAGAGUAGAAGCUCUCAACUAAUAAAACAAUAAUUUUUAAUUAAAUUUUGUUCCCACUGAGGACAAGGGAAAAGCAGGGAUUCAUUUAUAAAACAGCAAAUACUAGUGCUAAGUAUCAUCACAGGUGUAGGUGACAGCAAGGAAAAUAUGAUCAUUUAAAGGCACUCCUGGUAACCACAGAGAUUGUUGGAAGUCUGCCUACUGCUUCAAAACCCCUCUUUGUUUAAAUCAGAUGUUCCCUGCACUGUAGUUAAUACUAAAGACCUUUCAAUAUUUUGGCAUCACAUGUGGUAGUAAAGACUUGUACUUUCUUUCUUGAGUUUUCCAAAUCCUGUCCACUUCCUUAUGACCCGCGUAGCUCCCAGUUGGUUUUAGGCCACUAUUUCCAUUUUGCUUCAAGGCUUCAAGAAUUCUGAGCUUGGUUCAGGAAAGCAUCAAAGUGUUCACAUAGCAUGAGAAGAGAGAGCACCCUAUUAAUGAGGUUACUACUAGAUUUAGGUAUAUUUUCUUGUGUAAUUAUAGCAAACUUCAGCGACAACCAAUAAUAUUUCCCCAUCACUAACAUUAUAAGAAGAUUAAACUAUUGAUAUGCAGAUGACUUAUAUGUGCAGUGUGUGUGAGCACACAGCAGAUGCCUUCAGUUUCAGCACUCACACACAUCUGUAAGUUGAUGGAUACAAGCAUGCACACACAGAAUAACCUACAGAGAGCAGAUGGCUCCACUGCCUAUUGCCAUGUCCACAGCACUUCUUUUGAUUAAAACUUAGAUUGAAGCCUGUCAGCACCCAGAACAAGACAUCCCUGCAUGCAUCCCAUUCA